GACGAACGCUGGCGGCGUGCCUAAUACAUGCAAGUCGAACGCUGAAGGAGGAGCUUGCUUCUCUGGAUGAGUUGCGAACGGGUGAGUAACGCGUAGGUAACCUGCCUGGUAGUGGGGGAUAACUAUUGGAAACGAUAGCUAAUACCGCAUAAUAGCAGUUGUUGCAUGAUAACUGUUUGAAAGGUGCAAUUGCACCGCUACCAGAUGGACCUGCGUUGUAUUAGCUAGUUGGUGGGGUAACGGCUCACCAAGGCGACGAUACAUAGCCGACCUGAGAGGGUGAUCGGCCACACUGGGACUGAGACACGGCCCAGACUCCUACGGGAGGCAGCAGUAGGGAAUCUUCGGCAAUGGACGGAAGUCUGACCGAGCAACGCCGCGUGAGUGAAGAAGGUUUUCGGAUCGUAAAGCUCGGUUGUAAGAGAAGAACGAGUGUGAGAGUGGAAAGUUCACACUGUGACGGUAUCUUACCAGAAAGGGACGGCUAACUACGUG
rnacentral:rRNA from 1 species